UACAGAGGUCUCAAGCGUUGUUCGGAUUCAUUGGGCGUAAAGGGCGCGUAGGCUGCGGGGCAAGUCGGGUGUGAAAUCUCAGAGCUCAACUCUGAAACUGCACUCGAUACUGCUUUGCUCGAGGACUGGAGAGGAGAUUGGAAUUUACGGUGUAGCAGUGAAAUGCGUAGAUAUCGUAAGGAAGACCAGUGGCGAAGGCGAAUCUCUGGACAGUUACUGACACUGAGGCUCGAAGGCCAGGGGAGCAAACGGG
rnacentral:rRNA from 1 species